rnacentral:lncRNA from 1 species
UGGCCUGAUGAAAAAAUUUGGUAUUUCGAUUUUUCUUCCUGAUCCACUAGAUCCUGAACUUCUAUCUCCAUAAAACCUUCUGCUACCUUAACAGUAAAUCAUGCAAGGGCAGCUUCCCCUGGAGAUCCACUAGGUCACCCUCAGUGGGUCUGCCGUUCAGACCCUCUGGCUUCUAUAACUCAGAGAUAUUGGUCUCUACAGCCUUCAACCUCC